GCCGACUGCCUGAGGUCGGCGAAGGGUGGAAGCGGCCGAGAAAGAAGGUUCAAUCCUCUCCUAAGCUCGAGUCAGGUUGGUGGAGAGAAAGGUGGAAAACAAAGAGAUGGAAAAGGGAGGAAAGCGACUGAGGGAGGCUGUGGCCGGCCGGAGCUCGGUCGGCGACGACCGGGAGGCGCGCGGCCAGGUCAGGGGAGACGAAGGAAAGUGGCUAGGGGUAGCUCGGGGUAGGGUUAGGGUUUCCAAGGUGAAACCCUAGAAGACCUUAAAUACACAUAGCUCCACUUUGCGAAAAAACCCAUCAAAACUCAAUAUUUUAUUUUGAGUCCCUCACAUCGCGAGUAAAACAACGCGAAAGCACCUCCACAUCCGGUUUCACGCGAAACGGUACAUAAAAUGUCGCAACUUUUGCAAAAUUACCGUUUUGCCAUCACCGACCUCUCCUCGAACAACGCGCAAUAUCCCCAAAUCCGUCCGUCAGAUUUGCAAACAGAUCACACUAGUGCGAUAAGCACGGCGGAGACAAUAAAAUCACGAUUUUGGUUCACCUUGAUCGGUCACGGAUUCACGACGAAAUCCAUUCUCUCUCCAAAAGGCCAAAAUGACGCACAAUUACAUAAGAAACAUGUAUUUUCAGAUUUUCUCAAAAUUCGUGCGUCAAACCCAAAAUCCGUCAGUGCCAUCAGUUCUAGAAUAGCUGAGCCGGUCGAAACGAGCUAUUAGACUGCUAUGAACGGAGUCCAGUACGAGCCAGAAGCCAACUCUACGCAUUGAGCUCUUCGGAAAACCAAGUUACUAUUCACUUUAAGUGAAACUUGGAAAUCGCGUAGAAUCUCCGUUUUAACUCAUUUUCACACGAAACUUGACGAGUGCUUUUGUAAUUAAAUUAUACACAAAAACAUCGUCGACUGAGAGUUUAGCUAUACUGCCAAAAUCUCUGUCCUUACACAGGAUGGUCAUUGAUAGGCUACACCGCCACUAUAGCUCUGAACUUGAUGAAAAGGUGUUUGUGUAUGAUGUGGGAAAAAGGCUAUUCACAUUAGAGUCUCUCCCACAAAACAAUUUUGAAAAUUCAAAAUUCAUAUUCAGGAUUUAGAACUUAGAAUCUACAAUUCAGAAUGCGAAUUCAUAUAAAGUUAAACCAAAAAGAGUAUAAAGUAGUCUCGGAGGAAAACCAAAAAAAAAAAAAGAGAAAAGCCUAAAUAAAUCUAUGAUGUUUGGGUUUUUUUUUGCUUUAAAAAAUAUAGCAGAUCAUAAAUUGCGGGAGAAAAUAAAUCAAGGCUCAUACGACAUGUGUAUUUAAUUAGGAGUAUGCACUCCUACGGGCCAAGAGGACAGCUUAAGCCAAAUUUCUUUCAUCUAUCAUUAUUGCCACGGAAAUCCAUUAAUAAAAUUACUAUUAAUUACAAGGGUUAUUUGCAUACACGUCCCUGUAAACAUAGUGAAUUGCGAAAAUAUCCCUGCAAAACGGAAACUCCAUAAGUUGUCCCUGCAAAAGUCCUAAUUUGUGCAGAUAUAUCCCUCUGGUUAACAUCCGUUAGAGAACUAUUUAUUUUUUAACAGUUUUUUUGUGAAAUGAUCAUUUUGCCCUCACAAAUAUAUCCCUCCAAAAUACCGUUCUUUCCCUUCUCUUUCUCUUCCUCUUUGGGCCGCCGGAGCGGACGACGGCGGCGGCGCGGGGUCGGGUUCGUCGACGACGAAGAAGAGGGAAGAGAAAGAAUAAGAGGAAGAAGAAAAUGGAAGAGGAAGAGGGAGAGGGAGAAUUGAUAUAUAUUUAAGAAGUAAUGAA
rnacentral:lncRNA from 1 species